rnacentral:piRNA from 1 species
UCUGAGGUUACUAAAGGACAAGAAAUUAACCC